GGUGUCGUGGCCGAGAGGCUAGGCAACGGUCUGCAACACCGUGUACAUCGGUUCGAAUCCGAUCGACACCUCUA
rnacentral:tRNA from 1 species